GGGGUGGACUUGUUCGUUGAUGAGUGGUGACCAGUGAGAUAUUGACGGUGGUAGCUGUGGAGAACAGUGGCGUGUGAGUAGAAGAUUAGAUCGGUGCUGGGUGGUGAGAGAUUGACGGGGCAGAGAUGGAGGAGGGAGAAGAAGAAAAUUGAAAUUAAUCAAAUUUUAGAUUCCUUAAAAUGGAAACUGUAAAAUGUAAACUACAUCCAACAACUUCAGAAAGAUCCAUUUUUUGUGGAAAUUUUUAAAUUUUAUAAAAUUUAUUUAUUUCAUCU
rnacentral:misc_RNA from 1 species